rnacentral:misc_RNA from 1 species
GAUGAAGAACGUAGCGAAAUGCGAUAAGUAAUGUGAAUUGCAGAAUUCAGUGAAUCAUCGAAUCUUUGAACGCACAUUGUGCCCCUUGGUAUUCCGAGGGGCAUGCCUGUUCGAGCGUCAUUAUAACCCCUCAAGCUCGGCUUGGUGUUGGGGCCUGCCGCACGGGCAGCCCUUAAAAUCAGUGGCGGUGCCAUCUGGCUCUAAGCGUAGUAAUUCUUCUCGCUAUAGAGUCCCGGUGGAUGCUUGCCAUUAACCCCCAAUUUCAAUGGUUGACCUCGGAUCAGGUAGGGAUACCCGCUGAACUUAAGCAUAUCAAUAAGCGGAGGA